rnacentral:rRNA from 1 species
ACUCAAAGGAAUAGACGGGGACCCGCACAAGCAGCGGAGCAUGUGGUUUAAUUCGACGCUACGCGAAGAACCUUACCAAGGCUUGACAUCCCCUGACAGCCGUAGAAAUACGGUUUCCCAGCAAUGGGCAGGGAGACAGGUGGUGCAUGGUUGUCGUCAGCUCGUGUCGUGAGAUGUUCGGUUAAGUCCGGCAACGAGCGCAACCCUUAUGGUAUGUUGCCAAUAUCAAGUUAGGAACUCAUACCAGACUGCCGCGGACAACGCGGAGGAAGGCGGGGACGACGUCAAAUCAUCAUGCCCCUUACGUCUUGGGCCACACACGUGCUACAAUGGGCGCUACAAAGGGCAGCGGAGCCGCAAGGCCGAGCGAAUCCCAAAAAAGCGCUCUCAGUUCAGAUUGUGGGCUGCAACCCGCCCACAUGAAGCUGGAGUUGCUAGUAAUCCCGGAUCAGCAUGCCGGGGUGAAUGCGUUCCCGGGUCUUGUACACACCGCCCGU